UUCUCCCCACCGGCCGUCCCUCUCUCUCUCCCGUGUUUUUGAAUUCCGGCCACCUACACAGUACACGCGCCGGCCAGUGACGUGCGGAAGGAGGAGGCGAGCUCGGCCGCCAAGUUUCACGGCCAGCCGCCGCCGGACGCGCGCCGAUCGAGCCGGAGAAGCCGCCGGCCGUCGGAUUUUCUCUCUCCUCUUUUCUUGUGUUUUCCGGCCAGCCCACUCCCAAUUGAGCCUCCUAUCCCCCUAUUUUGGGUCCCCUGAAUCCAAAAAUGGCCUCCAAUCUCGAAAAUUCGAAGCGGUUUGCGAGUUAUGGAGAAGUGAACACCGGCCGAAACUUCCCGACCAAAUUCCGGCCACCUCCGGUGGAAUUGGGGUCGAUGGAGACCGGAUUGGUGAUCCUCGUUCCACGAGCUUCGAUUCGGAGCACCGGUGAGUCGUAGAAUUGAUCCCGUGGUGGAUCAUGGGUUAAUUGCGUGCUCCAGGUGAGUGACCCACCUUUAAAAAUAUUUUCGGGGUAAUUAAUUGUAUUUAUGUGGUAUUAAUUUGGUAUCUGUAAAAUUGUGUUCAUGUGGUGUAUUUUAAAUAUAAUCGGGAAAAAUAUUAUUUUAUAUAUAUAUUUACCAUUGGUAAUAAAUGGAAAUUUUGGGAUCAUUAAGAAAUUCCCGAUUAUUAUUUUAUGGUGAUUUAAUUAUGAAUUAUAUUGUUGUUUAAUUUAUUAUGCAUGAGCAAAGUGAAUUUUGGUGGUAUUUGUACGUGGUUUUAAAUUUGAUUUUCCGGGCAUAAUUGGGUUAAAUAUUUUACGAAAAUAUUUGGUUAUAUUUUAUAAAUUAUGCCCGCGGUAUUUUUAUGGUUGCAUUUCGUAUUUCGAGGAAAAUUGUGGUUUGUUGUUAUCGCUGUUUCGUACCGGGUGAUUGGAUAAAAUAUGUGGGAUGGUGUGUUGUGAAAUUUUGGUAUACUUCCCACGGUGGUUUUUGGAAAA